UUGGAGAAAAAGAUAUAGUCAUUCUUC
rnacentral:piRNA from 1 species